rnacentral:rRNA from 1 species
AGUGAACGCUGGCGGCAGGCUUAACACAUGCAAGUCGAACGGCAGCACAGUAUGCGCUUGCUCUUACGGGUGGCGAGUGGUGGAUGGGUGAUCAGAACAUGCGAAUUUGUUUGUGAGAGGGGGGCAAAGGAGGGAAUAAUACCGCAUACCAGCAGAGGAUCUAAGGGGGGAAGCAGAAGACCUUCCGCUAUUGCACGAUCCGAUGUCGGAUUAGCUAGUUGGUGGGGUAAAGGCGUACCAAGGCGACGAUCCGUAGCUGGUCUGAGAGGAUGACCAGCCACACUGGGACUGAGACACGGUCCAGACUCCUACGGGAGGCAGCAGUGGGGAAUAUUGGACAAUGGGCGCAAGCCUGAUCCAGCCAUGCCGCGUGAGGGAAGAAGGCCUUCGGGUUGUAAAGCCCUUUUGUUGGGGAAGAAAAGCAGUGGGUUAAUACCCCGCUGUGCUGACGGUACCCAAAGAAUAAGCACCGGCUAACUUCGUG